GAACAAGAAUUUGAGGAAUUCUGGUCUUUCCUUUCCUUUGACAUGUACUAAAACACUUCAUCGUGAAAGAUUUGACAUGCUGAUUCUUUCAAACAAUAUUUAUUUCAUAAAAGAAAGGGUGCUACUCAUAUAAAAAUAUAAUUAGUAAUGAAUGUAUAUAUGAAGAGUUCCAAAUAAGUUCUAUCAACACGCUGAGACGGGAUAACUAUUCUGAAGGCAGAUUAGAAUGUGAAUAAAUAGAAGGGAAAAUGACAUUCCCAAAAGGAUGGAAGAGAUUGAAGCUUUAUGCUUUAGCCUUGCGUGUUACUUCCAGUUUGGCCAGUUCCUUAUGUCUCCCCAUUUCUCACCCAUGCAUUUGGCUUUGUUUUUUUUAUUAGGUGACUAUGUUUUGCUUUUUUUUGUUGUUGUUGUUCAUAGACACAGACCCAUGGUUAGGUUUGAAAAUUUUCAGGCUCUGCUAGUUAGGUUCUCAACUCCUUCCAUUCCCUUUUAUGGAUGAAAAUAUGGGUCAUGUCUUAUUGUUGCUUCAGGCCUAGAUCCUACAGAGGACAGGGAAUAUGUGGAGUUAACCUGGGGAGCUAACAUCGUUUCCCAGGGUUAGUCUCUUGUGUUUGUAGGGUCAGUGCUCUGAAACAUCCCUAGUAGGUAUUGAAUUCCUACAAGGAUAUCAAUGAACUAGAUGUAAUGUAAACAGAGCUGGAAGGACUAUAGAGAAAAUUUCUGAGUAUGGGGUCCCCCAAGGCAAGGAAAGAACUUGAAAGAAAAAGUUCUUUAAGAGAAUUUUCCUAUUUUCUGUUAGAGUGAUCAUUAUGGAAAGUCUGAGUUGAAUGAAUGAGCUUAGAGACUACUUAGCAAACAGUUUCAAAGUAAAAAAUAAAUAAGGCAGAAUUUCAAAAUGCAUAUAAUUGGAUAUUGUGUGAUAAUUCAGUGAUACAAUUAAGCUUGUGAUCUGUCAAUUAUAAAGUAUUUCUUGUCAUAAUUUAUUUUAAAAAGAUGACUUUCUGGUUCUUCGUAAAGAAAUAUAAUUUAGGAGAUGGCAGCAAGCAACAGAUAAGUGGAAGACUCAGGUGCCCAUGUGAAAAACUAUAAGCAAGAGGGGAAAAGAAAAAUCAUGUUAAUUUGACUUCAAUUGUUUAAUGAGAGUCAUACUAUUUUUGUCUCCUGGGGAAAUACUGUCAGUAACUUAGCUGAGCUAGGGAAAGUGGCUAGGAAAUAAAACCAGAAACCAACAGGAUAGAGACGAACAAAUGCUUGUUUUGUAAUUAGUGAAAAGAAAUUUGUUUUUAGAAAGUGUAGAUGAGUCCAACCAUGCUGAUCUGGACUCUGAAAGAAGGAUCUAGAACAUUUAUUUAUUCAUUUAUCAGACAUUGGUUUUAGCAUUUUGUUUUGGGUCAGUCACCGUGUGGUGAUACAAAGAUGAAUAAAUGGGUUCCCUUCCAUCCUGGAGCUUAUAGUCCCUUAGAAAAGAUACAUACGAGCAAAUAAAUACAAUUUAAUAUAGCAUGUUCUAGAAUACAGUUAUAUAGAACCAAAAUGGAACGAUAAGAUUGAUGGGGAAGUUUGCUAACUCUGCCAAAAGAUUGAAGAGAGUAGUUGUUGGUUUGUUUGCUUGUAUCGUAAAUUGAUUUGUAAUCGUAAAUUUGUUUGUUUGAUUGUAAAUUCGUUUUCAAUAGAGGCAACUCUUGAGCUGAGUAGACAAUUGUAGGAGGGCCUAUCAGGUAAAGGUGAGAGCUUGAGUGAAGGCAACAGAGUGAAAGAAUAUGUGUUUGGAAAACGAUGCAAAGUCCACUGAAGAAAAGAAGGAAAAGAGAUGACCCAGAUAAUAUAAUUUGACAUUUGAAUUGCUAAGGAUCAUUCUAAGGUGCUUAAUUUUUAUUUUGGAGGUGAUAGAGGAGAAUUGACAAAAAUUAAGCAAUGAGACUUAUGAUUAGAUUUGUGAUCUAGAAAAAGAGAUUUUUGACGGUAAUAUGAAUGUUGGAUUGAAAGACAAGGAAGAGAUUGGCCUGGAGGAGAAGUAAUUAGUUAGGGGCUGUCAUGAAUGUCUGGUUGAGAGAUAAUAAGGGACUAAAAUAUUUUGUAAAAUUGGGGCAGGAGAGAAAUAAACAAAUUAGAGGGGUUUUUAUGUAUAAUUGUGACCAAUAUUAUUUGCAGGUAAAAGAAUUAAACAAUUUGAAUACUAGUCCUCAGUGUCUGGUUUGAACGUCUUAUGAAAGUUGGGAACAGGCUUUCAAAUCCUAAGCAAAUUUAUCUGCAAAGUUGGACAUAGAUGGUGGAGAGAAAAUGAAUUGGCAAACAGAAUCAGAAGCCUUUACUAAUCAGCUGAGUACCUUGAGUAAUUUACUCAUUUACACUUGACUCAUUUUCCUCAUUUAUAAAAUACAGUGGUUGAAACACAGCCUCUCAUCUGUAAAAUCAUGACUACUGGUGCGUAUUAGUUUUGUAUUGUCAUACAACUUGAUCCUUGCAAAGUUAGGUUACUGUAUCUGCAACAUUUCUUUUUGAAAAUAUAGCAGAACCAUCAUGAAAAGAACAUAAUAGAGGAGUGAAGGAAAAAGGAAAGUGAAAAUACACAGGAUAAUUAAGAAAAGUUUAUAUGGAACUCAUUUUGAAAAAAAAAAAAAUCAACCCGACACAGUAUAACGAUGCUGUUGCCCAUACGGGAAAAUAAGACGAGGCAGACAGCAGCAGUCUCAGGUAAAGUUCUUAAUUUAAAAAGCAAAACAAAACAAAUAAGAUCUAAGAGACUGAGCCCAAAAAAUAAAUUAAAAAAUUUAAAAGAUCAAUGGCAAAAUUUGACCGGAAGUCCUAAAGACAGACCGCAACAAGUUGUGGCUUAUGACAUAUUGGCCCUUGAUUUCGCUCUUCGUAGAUACAUAUGCUCUCUGCAAUCCCUCUUACUAGUUGUAGAGUGUACUUCCCCACUCCCUGACUUUGAGGUCAACCAGUGACUUGAAAUACGCUGGGUUGCUGGGCUUAGUCUCUCACACCUCUGACAUCUCCGUGAGAAGAGCUUCUGGAGUAGCUGCUGCCUCUGCCACCUGGACCCUAGGAGAGCAAAGAGACGAGGACACAGGCUCACGGUGUGGGGCAGAGCCACGUUGGUGUCAGCCUCAACUGGACAACCUGGACGACCAAGCCAAACACAGCACAGACUGGCUGUCUUCGUAUGAUUGACACUAAAUCCAACAGUGGGCAGAGAUCUUGAAUCCCCUGCGAUCCCUACAACCAAUCCGUAUUUUCGCUUUGCUGAAAAGGAGACAUGGAUGAUGACACAACACUGACGACCUCAGUAGAUUCCCAGUCUUCAGAUGUUAUCACUUUGAACCUUACUGGAAAGUCACAAGGACCCUCAAAAGGGAAUAAAGACAGACUUUGUAUCUCUAAAAUAUCACCACUGUCGUCUUCUUCCUGGUGACUUUGAUAACUACACUGGCCACAAUUUUAGCAGUCAAAAAACACAAAUCUUCCACUGAACGUAUGUCGUGCUUGAAUGGCUGGAUUGGCUACCUGGGAAAGUGCUUCUAUUUUUCUGAAAAUACAAGAACCUGGGCAGCAAGCCAGAACUUCUGUGCCCCUCAUGCAGCCACUCUUGCUGUCUUCAACACCACAAAAGAACUGGAUUUCCUGAAACAAUAUUCUAACCAUUCUCAGUAUUGGAUUGGAUUGAGUUGAGGACCAGGACAGACCUGGAAGUGGAUAGAUGGAACCAUAUACGGUGGUUGGUUUAAAAUAAUUGGAAUUGGAGAAUGCGCCUAUCUACACAAAAUUGGAAUUAGCAGUGCCAGUUCGCACUUGGUUAGAAAAUGGAUUUGCAGCAAACCAGACCCAUGUAUACCCAGAAGUUAAGACAUCAUAGAUCUAAGAUAUUUUACACAAAAUGUAGUUUUUAUUCCUUCUAAAAGGAAUAUAUUAUAUUAAUAUAAAAGUACAUAAAAUUCAUGUUUAGAAAUUUUCAUUGGUGUUUUUUUUUCCCAAAUCUCUAAAUCCACUUUUAUACAUUGACUAGAUCCUUAGUAUUCAAGAAAUAUAUGCCCAACAUUUGUCCCCAAACCUCUUAUAGAAUAAAAUUUCUGAUAAGUUAAAAUAUGAAUGAAAAAUUUAAAUGGCAUUUUAAGAUAUUUACUCAUAUGAAUUCAGACUAAUGUCAUUUAAAAUUUCUUGUUUUUUUAAGAACUCUAAUAAUAUUUUUGCCCCGUCUCCUUACUUUUAUUAUCAAUACUAGUUGUUGAUUUUCUUUCAGUUUUGCAAGAUUUAUGAGAUCCACUCAUGAACAUAGUGUAUUUUAAACACACGUUGCUUUUAAAUGUGUUGAUUUCCUAGCUAAACGAAUCUCUUUCAUACACCAACCUCGCAGCAAAAAAAAAAAAUAAAUAAAACAAAAUUUCACGUUCAGACCAUCGUGCGAGGGGCAUCAAGAUUUUGAGUGAACAGUUUGAACUAGCAGCUUUCUUUUUUUUUUUUCAAGAUUUUAUUUUUAUUUAUGUGACAGAGAGAGACAGCCAGCGAGAGAGGGAACACAGCAGGGGAGUGGGAGAGGAAGAAGCAGGCUCCCAGCGGAGGAGCCCGAUGUGGGACUCGAUCCCAGGACUCUGGGAUCACGCACUGAGCCGAAGGCAGAUGCUUAACGACUGUGCUACCCAGGCGCCCCUGAACUAGCAGCUUUCUAGUAGUGAAUGCCAGGAGCCUGUUGCAUAAUGGACAAUAUGAAUGUUACAAAUUUGGGAAGCAGAUGGAUGAGGGAGCAAUUUGACUUUGCAACUCAAGCUUCUAGUUGAGAAAACGAUAAAUUAGGUUCUGUGUCAGAAUGUGUAACUCUUCAGGGAAUAUUAUUUUCAUGUUUACUCAAGGUUAACAAGAUCUCUUUGCUAAAUAUAAUCCUUUUCUUAAGAGUGAAAUCUGUGACCUGCAUCCUACAGGUGCGUAAUGUGUACUCAUUGAUAGAAAUUAGAACAGUGGGAAUAGAACACAUACUGGAGAAUGGGACGAGUAAGAACCUAAGAAAAUCACUUAGGAAAGUCUCAUUCUUGUAUGUUUUACAAACCAGGCCACAUUUCCCACCUUUUCAGCCCCUCUCCGCACCCUCAUUUUCACUUCCUUUGCCCCCCUGUACUUCCUCCUCCACCAUUCUUUAGAAAAUCAGAGAUGGGCUAAAUGAACCCUCAACAGGUAAUUAUCAAACAAUGUAAGAAGUGCACAGACAAAUGUAGAUGACAUAUGAAAAGUCUCAAGGGCAGCAUUAGGAAAAAAGUGUCCAAAGUCUAAGAAAGACAUUCCCAGGGAAAUCAUUGCAGGGAAAAUAUUAUCAAAUUGACAAGUAAAGUAACAGUUUUCCAGGAAGAAAAUUCUCAGGGAGAACAUUGCCAGCAGAGUGGAAAGCACAUGUGAGGGUACGGAAUGUUGCUCCAUUGGGAAAUUAUGCCAGUCUGGAAGCACUGGAUGAGAGGUGUGAAGUAGGAGAGAGUGGGAGCUGAGGUUGGGAGUGGGGAGGAGGAGGCCGGGGGGGGGGCCAGGUUGAGGAGCAAUUCUGUGCCAUGUCAAGGGAGGGUUAGCAUUGAUGCUCUAGGUUAUUGCUCUAAAGUUAUUGAAUACUUGCAAACAGGAUAGUGACAUCUUCAAGUAUGUAGUUUAGAAUAAUUCUCAGGGCAAUAUAAAAUCUGGCUGAUAGACAAAGAAAUUAUUUAGAAGGCUUUUCAAUUGACUAGAAGAAAAAAUGAUAAGAACAGUGCCAGAAACAGUGGCAGGGAGAACAGAGACAAAUGAGUGGAUUCAGGAGCUCUUUCAGAGAGAAAAUCUUAGAAAAUACAGGAUGAAGGGAAUGAAGAAGAAAUACACAUCAGGAAUAAAUCCCAGGUCAGGUAGAUGAAUCACGGUGCUCUUAUUUGAUAAAGAAAAAAAAAGAUAUUUUCGAAUUACUGAGUUUUAGGAGCCUGUAGGAAGUUCAGAUGGAGAUGUCUAGUAGGAUGUCAAAUGUAGGGUUCUGGAACUCAUGAGCAAAUCUGGGCUGGAUACACGACAUGGACACAAAUAGGGCUGCAGAGGUCCAAGGGGUGAGCUGACGUGACCAAAGGAGCAAAGCGCUUGGUAGCAAAGAGCAGAUGAUUAUUUGCUUAACGAAAAAACAAUAUUUUAUAAAUGCUUAUUUCUUGAUUUUUGUUUUAUUUUUUAGGUAAGCUUUAAAUUUAGGUUGUUUAGGCUUAAUCACAGAGCUGAAUCUGUGCCCAGAAGAGCACUAGUAAAACAAUAAUAUAACUUUAGAGAGAUAAAUGAAUUCAUAUGUAUUUAUAGAAGGGUUAAAUGUGGCAAGUGCGUAUUUUUCAGAAAACAGACGCUUUUCAGCAUCUGAGUAUUGAAUCUGCAAAACUUCUAAUACUGAAUAGCGUCCGAGAUCAAGUAGGAAAAUGUACUUAUGUUUCUUUGCCCUUUCAAGGUAUAGUUUUAAAAAUUAUAUGAUCAUUGUAUGAGCCCUCUCUAAUAAUAGAGCAAUUAUGUCAAGAAUCCCUUUGUAUGACUUAUGGCUUUUUUGACACCUAAUACUAUUGUAACUUAGUAACACAGAUUUUAAAGUUGUCUGCCUCAGGUGUACUAAUUAAUACUAAAAUAAAGUUGUUACUUUAGAAGAAAUGGAGAGUUUUGGUGUUUUUUUAAAUAAAAUCAAAAUAUUCUUACAUCUCUUGCAAGAAAAUAAUGAAUAAUUAAUUAUGCUUG